UUAUAAUUACACAAAACAGGCAUCUGACCACACAACUCUAUACACACAUACAGUUUAAUAGACAUAUAUACACGAUCAUUAGAGCUUAUAAUUAUGUACACUUGUGGUAAAACAGACAUUUAUAUACACCUACGGGGUUAUUGACUUAUCAGGAAUUCAAAGUCAAAUUUCAGCCUUAAAAUAGCGAAGAUUAAACUCUAGUUGACCAGGAGAACGUUACCAAAUAAGCUAUAGAGGCCUAAAACAUUUAUUCACUUUCAUUUAAAUUUAAUUCCUUGCAAUUCAGACUUAAGUGAAUAACCCUGAUACAGUUAAACAGACAUGUUUU